UUAUUUUUUUUUAAGUAGUGUAAUACGAGG
rnacentral:piRNA from 1 species